rfam:Betaproteobacteria bacterium RBG_16_64_9 RBG_16_scaffold_12866, whole genome shotgun sequence.
AGUCUCCUCCACCCUCCUCCUUUGGUGGAUUAGAAGCGCAAUCGUCAAGAUUGCGCUUUUUUUU